GAUUAACGCUGGCGGCGUGCCUAACACAUGCAAGUCGAACGAGGUAGCAAUACCUAGUGGCAGACGGGUGAGUAACGCGUGGUCAACCUACCGUUGAGUGGGGGAGUAACUAGCCGAAGGUUAGCUAAUACCGCAUACGUCUCCGAGUGGCAUCACUUGGCGAUAAAAGGAAGCAAUCCGCUCGAUGACGGGACCGCGUCCCAUUAGCUAGAUGGUGGGGUAACGGCCUACCAUGGCACCGAUGGGUAGCUGGUUUGAGAGAGCGACCAGCCACACUGGGACUGAGAAACGGCCCAGACUCCUACGGGAGGCAGCAGUGAGGAAUUUUCCGCAAUGGGCGCAAGCCUGACGGAGCGACGCCGCGUGUGGGAAGAAGGCCUUCGGUCGUAA
rnacentral:rRNA from 1 species